rnacentral:rRNA from 1 species
CCUACGGGGCGCACCAGUGGGGAAUAUUGCACAAUGGGCGCAAGCCUGAUGCAGCCAUGCCGCGUGUAUGAAGAAGGCCUUCGGGUUGUAAAGUACUUUCAGCGGGGAGGAAGGUGUUGUGGUUAAUAACCGCAGCAAUUGACGUAACCCGCAGAAGAAGCACCGGCUAACUCUGUGCCAGCAGCCGCGGUAAUACGGAGGGUGCAAGCGUUAAUCGGAAUUACUGGGCGUAAGCGCACGCAGGCGGUCUGUCAAGUCGGAUGUGAAAUCCCCGGGCUCAACCUGGGAACUGCAUUCGAAACUGGCAGGCUAGAGUCUUGUAGAGGGGGGUAGAAUUCCAGGUGUAGCGGUGAUAUGCGUAGAGAUCUGGAGGAAUACCGGUGGCGAAGGCGGCCCCCUGGACAAAGACUGACGCUCAGGUGCGAAAGCGUGGGGAGCAAACAGGAUUAGAUACCCCGGUAGUC